rnacentral:rRNA from 1 species
AGAGUUUGAUCCUGGCUCAGGAUGAACGCUGGCGGCGUGCCUAACACAUGCAAGUCGAACGGACUUAUAACGAAACCUAGUGAAUUAUAAGUUAGUGGCGGACGGGUGAGUAACGCGUGGAAAACCUGCCGUAUACUGGGGGAUAACACUUAGAAAUAGGUGCUAAUACCGCAUAAGCGCACAGCUUCGCAUGAAGCAGUGUGAAAAACUCCGGUGGUAUACGAUGGUUCCGCGUCUGAUUAGCUAGUUGGUGAGGUAAAAGCCCACCAAGGCAACGAUCAGUAGCCGGCCUGAGAGGGUGAACGGCCACAUUGGGACUGAGACACGGCCCAGACUCCUACGGGAGGCAGCAGUGGGGGAUAUUGCACAAUGGGGGAAACCCUGAUGCAGCGACGCCGCGUGAGUGAAGAAGUAUUUCGGUACGUAAAGCUCUAUCAGCAGGGAAGAAAAAAAGUCCACAGGACUUUGGACGGUACCUGACUAAGAAGCCCCGGCUAACUACGUGCCAGCAGCCGCGGUAAUACGUAGGGGGCAAGCGUUAUCCGGAUUUACUGGGUGUAAAGGGAGCGUAGACGGCUGUGCAAGUCUGAAGUGAAAUGCCGGGGCCCAACCCCGGAACUGCUUUGGAAACUGUACAGCUAGAGUGCAGGAGGGGUGAGCGGAAUUCCUAGUGUGGCGGUGAAAUGCGUAGAUAUUAGGAGGAACACCAGUGGCGAAGGCGGCUUACUGGACUGUAACUGACGUUGAGGCUCGAAAGCGUGGGGAGCAAACAGGAUUAGAUACCCUGGUAGUCCACGCCGUAAAC